GAUGAACGCUGGCGGCGUGCCUAACACAUGCAAGUCGAGCGAACGGACGAGACGCUUGCUUUUCUGAUGUUAGCGGCGGACGGGUGAGUAACACGUGUAUACCCUACCUAUAAGACUGGGAUAACUUCGGGAAACCGGAGCUAACACCGGAUAAUAUUUUGAACCGCAUGGUUCAUAAGAGAAAGACGGUCUUGCUGUCACUUAUAGAUGGAUCCGCGCUGCAUUAGCUAGUUGGUAGGGUAACGGCUUACCAAGGCAACGAUGCAUAGCCGACCUGAGAGGGUGAUCAGCCACACUGGAACUGAGACACGGUCCAGACUCCUACGGGAGGCAGCAGUGGGGAAUCUUCCGCAAUGGGCGAAAGCCUGACGCAGCAACGCCGCGUGAGUGAUGAAGGUCUUCGGAUCGUAAAGCUCUUUUAGUAGGGAAGAACAUAUGUGUAAGUAAAUGUGCACAUCUUGACGGUACCUAAUCAGAAAGCCACGGCUAACUACGUG
rnacentral:rRNA from 1 species